rnacentral:rRNA from 1 species
GAUGAACGCUGGCGGCGUGCUUAACACAUGCAAGUCGAACGGGAUCCAGGCAGCUUGCUGCCUGGUGAGAGUGGCGAACGGGUGAGUAAUGCGUGACCGACCUGCCCCAUACACCGGAACAGCUCCUGGAAACGGGUGGUAAUGCCGGAUGCUCCGACUCCUCGCAUGGGGUGUCGGGAAAGAUUUCAUCGGUAUGGGAUGGGGUCGCGUCCUAUCAGGUAGUCGGCGGGGUAACGGCCCACCGAGCCUACGACGGGUAGCCGGCCUGAGAGGGCGACCGGCCACAUUGGGACUGAGAUACGGCCCAGACUCCUACGGGAGGCAGCAGUGGGGAAUAUUGCACAAUGGGCGCAAGCCUGAUGCAGCGACGCCGCGUGCGGGAUGACGGCCUUCGGGUUGUAAACCGCUUUUGAUCGGGAGCAAGCCUUCGGG